rnacentral:sRNA from 1 species
GAAACUUCAGUUCCAGAGCUUCACCAUCUGUGUGCCAGGAACUGUGCAUGCCUUAUUCUGAUCAUGGAGUUCAAGCAACAUAUCACCAGGUUUAUGCUCCAAGUGCCAUCACUAUGCCUGCGCCUGUGAUGCAGCCUGAACCAAUUAAAACAGUGUGGAGCAUUCAUUAUUAAGACAAUUGGGCAGCUCUAGUCCAGCUCAACUGAUUUCUUGUCCAAUGAUCCUUGCAUGGCCGAGAUCCAGCUUCAACGAACCAGCUAGAAGCUGCCCGUUGUGAAACUUAGUGUUAGUUAAUACCUCACCAUACUCAGUUAUUCCACUAUAAGCUGUCUAAAUUUGAUGAAAUUUGCUUUUUCAGGUGUUCUACAAAAUUAUUUAGGUAGAUGUGGCAUGUUGGUUUUUUAUGUGCUAACCUAACUGUAAUGACCUUUUCUACAACAUGUUUUAUCCAUUCCAUAAAUAAUAACCACAUUGGG